rnacentral:rRNA from 1 species
AAACGUAGGACGCGAGCGUUAUCCGGAUUCACUGGGCGUAAAGCGUGUGCAGGCGGUCGAGUAAGUCGGACGUGAAAGCUCCUGGCUCAACUGGGAGAGGCCGUUCGAGACUGCUAGACUAGAGGGCAGGAGAGGAGCGUGGAAUUCCGGGUGUAGUGGUGAAAUGCGUAGAUAUCCGAAGGAACACCGGUGGCGAAGGCGACGCUCUGGACUGCUCCUGACGCUAAGACACGAAAGCUAGGGUAGCGAACGGGAUUAGAAACCCCAGUAGUCC